rnacentral:rRNA from 1 species
AAUGGGGGAAACCCUGACGCAGCGACGCCGCGUGAGCGAAGAAGGCCUUAGGGUCGUAAAGCUCUGUUUUAGGGGACGAAUGUCUAGAGCAAUAACACAGCUUUAGAAUGACGGUACCCUAAGAGGAAGCCCCGGCUAACUACGUGCCAGCAGCCGCGGUAAGACGUAGGGGGCGAGCGUUGUCCGGAAUUACUGGGCGUAAAGAGCACGUAGGCGGGACUUUAAGUCAGGUGUGAAAUACCGGGGCCUAACCCCGGGGCUGCACCUGAAACUGGAGUUCUUGAGGGCAGGAGAGGGCAGUAGAAUUCCUGGUGUAGCGGUGAAAUGCGUAGAAAUCAGGAGGAAUACCAGUGGCGAAGGCGACUGUCUGGACUGACCCUGACGCUGAGGUGCGAAAGCGUGGGUAGCAAA